UGGAGAGUUUGAUCCUGGCUCAGAUUGAACGCUGGCGGCAGGCCUAACACAUGCAAGUCGAGCGGAUGAGAAGAGCUUGCUCUUCGAUUCAGCGGCGGACGGGUGAGUAAUACCUAGGAAUCUGCCUGGUAGUGGGGGACAACGUUUCGAAAGGAACGCUAAUACCGCAUACGUCCUACGGGAGAAAGCAGGGGACCUUCGGGCCUUGCGCUAUCAGAUGAGCCUAGGUCGGAUUAGCUAGUUGGUGAGGUAAUGGCUCACCAAGGCUACGAUCCGUAACUGGUCUGAGAGGAUGAUCAGUCACACUGGAACUGAGACACGGUCCAGACUCCUACGGGAGGCAGCAGUGGGGAAUAUUGGACAAUGGGCGAAAGCCUGAUCCAGCCAUGCCGCGUGUGUGAAGAAGGUCUUCGGAUUGUAAAGCACUUUAAGUUGGGAGGAAGGGCAGUAAGCGAAUACCUUGCUGUUUUGACGUUACCGACAGAAUAAGCACCGGCUAACUCUGUGCCAGCAGCCGCGGUA
rnacentral:rRNA from 2 species